rnacentral:rRNA from 1 species
GUCGGGAAUAUUGGGCAAUGGGCGAAAGCCUGACCCAGCAACGCCGCGUGAAGGAUGAAGGCCCUAGGGUCGUAAACUUCUGUCGAGAGGGAAGAAUGCUUGCGGACUAAUAAUCCGUAAGUUUGACGGUACCUCCAAAGGAAGCACCGGCUAACUCCGUGCCAGCAGCCGCGGUAAUACGGAGGGUGCAAGCGUUGUUCGGAUUUAUUGGGCGUAAAGCGAGUGUAGGCGGCUUAGCAAGUCGGGUGUGAAAUCCCAGGGCCCAACCCUGGAACUGCACUCGAUACUGCUAGGCUAGAAUUCCGGAGAGGGUGGCGGAAUUCCCGGUGUAGGGGUGAAAUCCGUAGAUAUCGGGAGGAACACCAGUGGCGAAGGCGGCCACCUGGACGGUAAUUGACGC